rnacentral:tRNA from 1 species
UGAUAAUUAGUUUAAACUAAAAUAAAUGAUUUCGACUCAUUAGACUAUAGUUCACCCUAUAAUUAUCAA